CAUUUAUAGACUCUCAUCACAAAUUGCGUUUAAGCUAAACCCUAAGCUAAUUAUAUGUCAGUAUUUGUACAUGAUAAGACUUAAAACUCAUAAAAAUUCCCCCGUAACGUCGUUUCACGCGCCUUUUCACGAUGUCACCCUUACCGGCGAUCUCACGUUACGUCAUCCCUAACCCUUCAAUUCUCUCUCUUCUCAAUACCCUUUUACCCUCUUUUAUCAUGCGUUUUUCGACGGCCGGCGCUUUUUUCUUAUCGUCUUAUUUUCUCUCUCCUCUUUUUUUCUCUCUUCAUUUUCCUCAUCUUUGAAGCUCUCAACAAUGGCGGAAGGUCCAGAUUCAUCAACACCUCCAUCAUUAGCGAUGAUUUCAUCAUCAUCUCGUCCUGUUCCGGCGAGAGAAGAUUGUUGGAGCGAAGACGCAACUUUUACGUUGAUCGAAGCUUGGGGACAGAGGUACAUCGAGCUAAAUCGAGGAAAUCUAAGGCAGAAACAAUGGCAGGAGGUUGCGGAUUCGGUGAAUAAUCGACAUGGACAUGUGAAGAAAGCUAGAAGAACAGAUGUUCAGUGUAAGAAUCGAAUUGAUACUUUGAAGAAGAAGUAUAAGAUUGAGAAGGCUAGGGUUUUGGAUUCUAAUGGAAGUUAUAAGAGUCCUUGGCCGUUUUUUGAGCCAUUAGAUCAGUUAAUUGGAUCAACUAUGCCAUUAAAGAAGCUUUCUCCUUCUCCUCCUAUGGCGGUUCCGAUUCUUGCUCAUCGGACUCCGGCGAUUUUGCCUCAGAAGCGUCCUGUACCGUCUCCUUCGCCUUCGCCUUCUUUUCCUGCUUCUACGCCGCCUUUUCGAGGAGAUGAGUCGUAUUUUCGGAAGAAUUACUCGGCGAUUGCGGCAGCUGCAGCGGCCGCAGCGGAUAGUGAUGAUGAGGAGGAGGAUGAGGACGAGGAGGAGGAAGAGGAGGAGGUGGAGGUGAGUGGAGAGAGUAGUGAGGCGGACGGAAUUCGGAAGCUGGCGAAAGUGAUUGAGAAGUUUGGAGAGGUGUAUGCUAGAGUGGAGGCUGAGAAACAGAGGCAGAUGAUUGAGUUGGAAAAGCAGAGGAUGCAAUUUGCUAAGGAGUUGGAGUGUCAAAGGAUGCAAAUGCUUGUUGAAAUGCAGGUUCAGCUUGAGAAGAUGAAGCGUGCUAAACGAUCCGAUUCGAAUGACUAGGUACAACUGGGUCCUCUGACACUGCUACUUAAGCUUGUUAAGACUACGAGUUAUAGGAGAAUAAGAUAUGUAUAGCUAGCUUAUUUCCAGAGCCGACUUGAGUCUGAUUAACGAGGUAGUGUGCAAUUUCAUGCUAACGGUUCAAACUGCUGUUGAGGGAGGAAAAAUACCAGUAUAAGUGCCUCAGACAGGAAGUAGAUCGACUUGCGAACUAGUUUGGAAGGUCAUGGUGGAUUAAAAACCUUUAACUUCUAUAUGAUUUUAAAUGACUCUUAAUUCAUAGAUUAUGUCCCCUGAUCUUUUUGUAAUUUGAAUGGUUGUGUAAUAUGCUACUCCUGUAACUCGUCUUUGUCGUGCUUCUCGGAAAUGAAUGUGCAGUUGAAUUCUCGCCACA